UUCCAGAAGCCAGACCUUCCACCUUCUGCAUCCCACAGUGACCUAGGGUCCAUACUCCCAAAGGCUAUCGGGGAGGGGAUGGGAUACAGAGUUGUGGUGGUGGGAAUUGUGUGGAGUUGUA